CCUGCAAAGUCAAAGUCAGACGUUCAUCAUUUUACGCCCAGCAGCCUCAAAUAAGUAUGAUAAUUGAACACUUUUCAGACGGCUGCUGCUUCUCUGACAAAGACGCACACAAAAAAGUUCACAGCCGAAACUUCCCAGCACAAUAGCGAAGUCGUUUGUUUUGGAUAAAUCCAGUGCAGUUGUGAUCAAUUUGUCUCCCAGCUUUCCCUCUGCAGGGGAAUUUGUCUCAGCCUGCAGUGAUGAUAACUGAUGUGCUUUUUUUCCCUCCCAGACUGAGCCUUAAGUUACUUAGCUGCACUUUAUUGCUCCCACUUCUGGGGAGAAUCGCUUGGCUGUCUGCUAUUUGUUUUGUGUGCCAUGCUGUGAGACAACAGUUGGGGAGACUGAUCAAAGGAAAUGUUUGCUCCUGGUUUCAGUGCUUAGUGGUGCAAUUGAAGCAAGCAGGACUGUGAAGCUGAUUGUGACUGACAUGGUGAAUAAAUGUUUUGCAGAAGGUCAUAAAACCUUUAGAGAUCUGUACAAUAAAGAAAAAUCUGUACAAUAAAUAUUCAUUAUCAAAGGUCCACAGGAAGGUAAUUCAUCUGAGAUGUCUGGCCUUUAUUUGUCUAAUCUAUCUUUUUGGUUUGCAGGUGGUACUUUUUCCUCACAGGGCGAAAAAAUAAAUCUGUGAGCACUGAUCUCUAGAUAAUCCCACCUUUCUGUAAUAUUCAUAAUCUUCUCAUCUGCCACAGAAAUUCAAUCAGCCAUACAAAUACCUUUAGAAAAUUACAUGAAAGGAGAAAUCUCUCAAGGCCUUGUAAAAGACUGCCCAUAUGUUUUGGAAAUUCUCAAUUAUUCACCUUUGCAAGCCUCUCGCCAUCUUCUCUCUUCACCACCCGCUCAUGAGUGGCAUCAGCCUGGUGAGACGAGAUAAACAAGGUCACACGUGCAACCAGCAUCGGUCUGAUGGCGGCUAAUGAGUCAAGAUUGACUCUCAGGAUGCUAAUUAAGCACCGAUAUGAAGUGUGGGGGACUGAAACAAGACAGAGCUCCAAGGCAGAGACAUCUGUUCUCUGUUCAGAGGAAGGGAUGCGAAUGGCAGCUCUGGAAAAAAAAAAAAAACGUGUGACACUGAUAUUUGCAAAUAAUCAGGUUGAGUUAUUGUCAGAUGUUUGUGUGAUUGAAAUGAACAAGAGUGAUUGUACUUUUAGAAAUACCAUCAGGCGAAGAGUCACCAAUGAUCGACUGACUGAGCUUUAAGUUGGUUUAAAAAAUGUAGCUGUGCUUGAACAUAUAUAGCUAGCGCUUGAUAAUCUGCAUAUAUGUAUUAGAGUUGGGUAUCUGUACUAGUGAUAAUACCUUUAAUACCUCACACUGAGGAGCAUGAACAUUUGCUUUCCCCUUUCUAAAUCAAUAAAAGGAGCCAAACUUCUUAAA